GCCAAUUAAAGCGGUACGUGAGCUGGGUUUAGAACGUCGUGAGACAGUUCGGUCCCUAUCUGCCGUGGGUGUUGGAUACUUGAGAGGAGCUGUCCCUAGUACGAGAGGACCGGGAUGGACGUACCUCUGGUGUACCGGUUGUUCUGCCAAGGGCAUCGCCGGGUAGCUAUGUACGGACGAGAUAACCGCUGAAAGCAUCUAAGCGGGAAGCCCCCCU
rnacentral:rRNA from 1 species